rnacentral:misc_RNA from 1 species
UCUCCGUUGGUGAACCAGCGGAGGGAUCAUUACAGAGUUGCAAAGCUCCCAAACCAUUGUGAACGAUACCUCUCCCGUUGCUUCGGCUGGCGGCCCGGGCCCCGCGCCCGGCGCCCCCCGGCCCCCCGUGGGCGCCCGCCCGAGGUAAACCAAACCCUUGAAUUGCAUGGCCUCUCUGAGUCUUCUGUACUGAAUAAGUCAAAACUUUCAACAACGGAUCUCUUGGUUCUG